CACCUCUCAGGGUCGUACCUGGAGAGUUUCCAGUACUCUACCAGUCUCGAUUACCGGAGGGGGAGUCAAGCAGAGGCAUAUUCAUACCAGUUUUAGCUUGGGCAGUGGCUAGAGAGUGGAAGGCAAUCUGCUACAAGU